rnacentral:rRNA from 1 species
GAUGAACGCUGGCGGCGUGCUUAACACAUGCAAGUCGAACGAAGCACUUUGCUUGAUCCCUUCGGGGUGAUUGCUUUGUGACUGAGUGGCGGACGGGUGAGUAACGCGUGGGUAACCUGCCUCAUACAGGGGGAUAACAGCUGGAAACGGCUGCUAAUACCGCAUAAGCGCACAGUACCGCAUGGUACGGUGCGAAAAACUCCGGUGGUAUGGGAUGGACCCGCGUCUGAUUAGCCAGUUGGCGGGGUAACGGCCCACCAAAGCGACGAUCAGUAGCCGACCUGAGAGGGUGACCGGCCACAUUGGGACUGAGACACGGCCCAAACUCCUACGGGAGGCAGCAGUGGGGAAUAUUGCACAAUGGGGGAAACCCUGAUGCAGCGACGCCGCGUGAGCGAAGAAGUAUUUCGGUAUGUAAAGCUCUAUCAGCAGGGAAGAAGAAAUGACGGUACCUGACUAAGAAGCCCCGGCUA